GUAGGUGGCAAGCGUUGUCCGGAAUUAUUGGGCGUAAAGCGCGCGCAGGCGGUUCUUUAAGUCUGAUGGUGGAAACGACCCACGGGCUCAACCGUGGAGGGUCAUUGGAAACUGGAGAACUUGAGUACAGAAGUAGGAAAGCGGAAUUUCCACGUGUAGCGGUGAAAUGCGUAGAGACGUGGAGGAACACCAGUGGCGAAGGCGGCUUUCUGGUCUGUAACUGACGCUGAGGCGCGAAAGCGUGGGGAGCAAACAGGAUUAGAUACCCUGGUACGUCCACGCCGUAAACGAUCGAGUGCUAAGUGUUAGGGGGUUUCCGCCCCUUAGUGCUGCAGCUAACGCAUUAAGCACUCCGCCUGGGGAGUACGGCCGCAAAGGCUG
rnacentral:rRNA from 1 species